CUGGCUGGGACAUAUUAUUGUAUCGUAAUUUAUUUUCAGAACAACGGUACAAGUCAAAACUAGGGACAGUCUUGGUUUUCUGGAGCAUAUGACAACCCUAGAUGUACACGAUGUAGACCCUUUUCCCUUUUCUGAAAGGAAAUUUUCUUUAAAGUACUUUAAGAAGAAAAUGUUUUUAUUUUCACAAUAAAAGGAUAAAAGUGAGAAAAAACAGUAAAAUAUUAUGAAUUUCUUUUUCCUGGAGUUAAUUUUACAAUGAUAGCACUUAAUCUGACUGGGAAAGUACUUUAGUGAGGUCAUUAAUUGAUUUUCCUAGCAAAUUUGAAAAAUAAGUACAAUAUUAAACAAAUAUUCAAAAAAAUAUACAAUGCUUCUUUAACUAUUUUAUCAUAAUUUGACAAAAUUGUUAACAAAGCAUCAUUAUCUACUGAACUCUGCUCGGAAUCGUUUUUACUAAGCAAUGGUUUAUUGUUGCUUACAAAUACAAAUUAAUUUCCCAUCAAAAUCCUUCAUUCCCAAAUUCUCAUCAACAGUGACUGCACCCAUCAUGAGAAGUAUGUCUGUCUUCUUUUUCUAUUUCCCUUAGUUCCAGCAGGCUCGGAUUUCAACUUUCAUUAGUUUGUUAUACAUUCCUAUCUUUCUACAUAUUUUUGUUUUUCUUAAUAUUAAUAACAAUGAUAAUAAUAAUAAUUAUGGUUAUUUAUUGUAACCAAAAGUAAUCAGUUGUAGACCAAACAAUAGAAAAAAAGUACAAGUAAUGUCAAAACAUCUGCUAUUUGUGGAUUUUAAAAAGGCACAGUUUAUAACAGUGUAAAUGUGCAUGGAAGAUACAAGGUAUUUAGCAAAUAAUACCUUUAGCUUUUGAAGUUAGUACAGGAUUGAAACAACAAGAUUCGUCAUCAGUCACGUUACUUAUUAAGCUCAGCAGAAGAUGAAAUUUGAACAUGAAUUUCAGUACCAAGGAUCAGUAUUAAACACAAAAAAUGACUGGUCUAGAGAAAUAAGUAUAAGGGUAACAAACGAUUUUCUCUGAGUAAGUUCUUAAAAUUCAAAGUGUUUUCCAAAAAUCAGGCAAUCUCAUGUUUUGUAUAAAACUCAAUCUCAAUUUGAGGUGCUAUUAUCAUAAAGUGGAUGUUUUGUAUCUCAAUUUUGGUUGUUGUUGACCUACAUAUAUUGAGUUGUUAUUUCACUUAAAGUUUGAAAUGUACCUCUGUUAUUGUUAAACAAUCUGUUAUGAUUCUAUAGGACUUAUUGAAUCAAUAUUAUACUCAGUGGUGUUGGAUAAGAAUGCUAAUAAAU